UAUAAACUAGAAUCUUACUUUGUGUUUUAUCAUGUGUUUCUUUGAGGUUUCCGUUCAGCUCAAGCAAGCAGUUACAAAGAAAAGAAGAAGUAACGGUUUCUCCCACGAGCAAGGGGGGAGGGGGGAGGAAUUUACUCGGGCCGUCAAGGUUGCAGAAAAGUAUAGUGUUCGUAGCCAAUAGAAAAGAUAUACUCUAUCUUUCACCCCCCCUCCCACUUCUUCAUGUCGUAAAACCUAUGCUGUUUUCAGAAAUAAACCAGAGAU